UACGUAGGGUGCAAGCGUUGUCCGGAAUUAUUGGGCGUAAAGCGCGUGUAGGCGGCCAGAUAAGUCCGCUGUGAAAUCUCGAGGCUCAACUUCGAGCUGUCGGUGGAAACUGUCUGGCUAGAGUCCGGAAGAGGAGAAUGGAAUUCCUGGUGUAGCGGUGAAAUGCGCAGAUAUCAGGAAGAACACCCGUGGCGAAGGCGGUUCUCUGGGACGGUACUGACGCUGAGACGCGAAAGCGUGGGGAGCGAUCCGG
rnacentral:rRNA from 1 species